rnacentral:ncRNA from 1 species
UACCUGGUUGAUCCUGCCAGUAGUCAUAUGCUUGUCUCAAAGAUUAAGCCAUGCAAGUCUAAGUACGAGCUCUCGUACAGUGAAACUGCGAAUGGCUCAUUAAAUCAGUUAUGGUUCAUUUGAUCGUACAGUUUACUUGGAUAACUGUGGUAAUUCUAGAGCUAAUACAUGCGAGAAGCGCCGACCUCGCGGGAGGCGUGCAUUUAUCAGACCAAAAACCGGCCGCGUCUUCGGGCGCGUUCGCCUUGGUGACUCUGGAUAACUUUGCGGAUCGCACGGU